rnacentral:rRNA from 1 species
UACGGGGGGGGCAAGCAGUUGUUCGGAAUUACUGGGCGUAAAGGGCGCGUAGGCGGUUCGCUAAGUUGAAUGUGAAAACUCUGGGCUUAACCCAGAGCCUGCAUUCAAUACUGGCGGGCUAGAGUUCUGGAGGGGAUAGCGGAAUUCCUGGUGUAGCGGUGAAAUGCGUAGAUAUCAGGAGGAACACCGGUGGCGAAGGCGGCUAUCUGGACAGAGUCUGACGCUGAGGCGCGAAAGCUAGGGGAGCAAACAGG